CCAAUAGCGUAUAUUAAAGUUGCUGCAGUUAAAAAGCUCGUAGUUGAAUUUCGGGACCAAUAUGUCGGUCGUGCCUCGGUACGUACUGGCAUCAUUGGUUUCUCCCUUCUGACGAACCAUGAUGUCAUUUAUUUGGUGUCGUGGGGAAUCAGGACUGUUACUUUGAAAAAAUUAGAGUGUUUAAAGCAGGCUCACGCUUGAAUACAUUAGCAUGGAAUAAUGAAAUAGGACGUUUGAUUCUAUUUUGUUGGUUUCUAGGAUCGACGUAAUGAUUAAUAGGGAUAGUUGGGGGCAUUAGUAUUCAAUUGUCAGAGGUGAAAUUCUUGGAUUUAUUGAAGACUAACUACUGCGAAAGCAUUUGCCAAGGAUGUUUUCAUUAAUCAAGAACGAAAGUUAGGGGAUCGAAGACGAUCAGAUACCGUCGUAGUCUUAACCAUAAACUAUGCCGACUAGGGAUCGGAUGAUGUUAAUUUUUUAAUGACUCAUUCGGCGCCUUACG
rnacentral:rRNA from 1 species